rnacentral:rRNA from 1 species
AUUGAACGCUAGCGGGAUGCCUUACACAUGCAAGUCGAACGGAGUGGCGAACGGGUGAGGAAUGUAUCGGAACGUGCCCAUUAGCGGGGGAUAACUACGCGAAAGCGUAGCUAAUACUGCAUACUCUUGGAGCCGCCGAUAUCGGAGUAGCUAGUUGGUGGGGUAACGGCUCACCAAGGCGACGAUCCCUAGCUGGUUUGAGAGGACGACCAGCCACACUGGGACUGAGACACGGCCCAGACUCCUACGGGAGGCAGCAGUGGGGAAUUUUGGACAAUGGGCGAAACCCGGAUCCAGCCAUCCCGCGUGUGCGAUGAAGGCCUUCGGGUUGUAAAGCACUUUUGGCGGGGAAGCGGUACCUGCAGAAUAAGCACCGGCUAACUACGUGCCAGCAGCCGCGGUAAUUC